GGACUAUUAGUUCAGUGGUAGAACAUUCGCCUCAUAAGCGAUAUGUCGUAGGUUCGAUCCCUACAUGGUCCA
rfam:Clostridiales bacterium 41_21_two_genomes Ley3_66761_scaffold_1148, whole genome shotgun sequence.